UACAGAGGGUGCGAGCGUUGUCCGGAAUCACUGGGCGUAAAGGGCGCGUAGGUGGCGGCCCAAGUCAGUGGUGAAAGCUCGAUGCUCAACAUCGAGUCGGCCACGGAUACUGGGUUGCUCGAGCACUGUAGGGGCAGAUGGAAUUCCGGGUGUAGCGGUGGAAUGCGUAGAGAUCCGGAAGAACACCGGUGGCGAAGGCGGUCUGCUGGGCAGUUGCUGACACUGAGGCGCGACAGCGUGGGGAGCAAACAGG
rnacentral:rRNA from 1 species